rnacentral:rRNA from 1 species
GUAGUCAUAUGCUUGUCUCAAAGAUUAAGCCAUGCACGUCUAAGUAUAAGCAAUUAUACAGCGAAACUGCGAAUGGCUCAUUAUAUAAGUUAUCGUUUAUUUGAUAGUACCUUACUACUUGGAUAACCGUGGUAAUUCUAGAGCUAAUACAUGCUAAAAAUCCCGACUUCGGAAGGGAUGUAUUUAUUAGAUUAAAAACCAAUGCCCUUCGGGGCUCUCUGGUGAUUCAUGAUAACUUCUCGAAUCGCACGGCCUUGCGCCGGCGAUGGCUCAUUCAAAUUUCUUCCCUAUCAACUUUCGAUGGUAGGAUAGAGGCCUACCAUGGUUUCAACGGGUAACGGGGAAU